rnacentral:rRNA from 1 species
GACGAACGCUGGCGGCGUGCUUAACACAUGCAAGUCGAACGGUAAGGCCCUUCGGGGUACACGAGUGGCGAACGGGUGAGUAACACGUGGGUGAUCUGCCCUGCACUUCGGGAUAAGCCUGGGAAACUGGGUCUAAUACCGGAUAGGACCACUGCCUGCAUGGGUGGUGGUGGAAAGCUUUUGCGGUGUGGGAUGGGCCCGCGGCCUAUCAGCUUGUUGGUGGGGUGAUGGCCUACCAAGGCGACGACGGGUAGCCGGCCUGAGAGGGUGACCGGCCACACUGGGACUGAGAUACGGCCCAGACUCCUACGGGAGGCAGCAGUGGGGAAUAUUGCACAAUGGGCGCAAGCCUGAUGCAGCGACGCCGCGUGAGGGAUGACGGCCUUCGGGUAGUAAACCUCUUUCAGCACCGACGAAGCGCAAGUGACGGUAGGUGCAGAAGAAGGACCGGCCAACUACGUGCCAGCCGCAGUAAGAC